rnacentral:rRNA from 1 species
AGGGGAGUGAAAAAGAACCUGAAACCGUGUACGUACAAGCAGUGGGAGCACGCUUAGGCGUGUGACUGCGUACCUUUUGUAUAAUGGGUCAGCGACUUAUAUUCUGUAGCAAGGUUAACCGAAUAGGGGAGCCGAAGGGAAACCGAGUCUUAACUGGGCGUUAAGUUGCAGGGUAUAGACCCGAAACCCGGUGAUCUAGCCAUGGGCAGGUUGAAGGUUGGGUAACACUAACUGGAGGACCGAACCGACUAAUGUUGAAAAAUUAGCGGAUGACUUGUGGCUGGGGGUGAAAGGCCAAUCAAACCGGGAGAUAGCUGGUUCUCCCCGAAAGCUAUUUAGGUAGCGCCUCGUGAAUUCAUCUCCGGGGGUAGAGCACUGUUUCGGCAAGGGGGUCAUCCCGACUUACCAACCCGAUGCAAACUGCGAAUACCGGAGAAUGUUAUCACGGGAGACACACGGCGGGUGCUAACGUCCGUCGUGAAGAGGGAAACAACCCAGACCGCCAGCUAAGGUCCCAAAGUCAUGGUUAAGUGGGAAACGAUGUGGGAAGGCCCAGACAGCCAGGAUGUUGGCUUAGAAGCAGCCAUCAUUUAAAGAAAGCGUAAUAGCUCACUGGUCGAGUCGGCCUGCGCGGAAGAUGUAACGGGGCUAAACCAUGCACCGAAGCUGCGGCAGCGACGCUGAUGCGUUGUUGGGUAGGGGAGCGUUCUGUAAGCCUGUGAAGGUGUGCUGUGAGGCAUGCUGGAGGUAUCAGAAGUGCGAAUGCUGACAUAAGUAACGAUAAAGCGGGUGAAAAGCCCGCUCGCCGGAAGACCAAGGGUUCCUGUCCAACGUUAAUCGGGGCAGGGUGAGUCGACCCCUAAGGCGAGGCCGAAAGGCGUAGUCGAUGGGAAACAGGUUAAUAUUCCUGUACUUGGUGUUACUGCGAAGGGGGGACGGAGAAGGCUAUGUUGGCCGGGCGACGGUUGUCCCGGUUUAAGCGUGUAGGCUGGUUUUCCAGGCAAAUCCGGAAAAUCAAGGCUGAGGCGUGAUGACGAGGCACUACGGUGCUGAAGCAACAAAUGCCCUGCUUCCAGGAAAAGCCUCUAAGCAUCAGGUAACAUCAAAUCGUACCCCAAACCGACACAGGUGGUCAGGUAGAGAAUACCAAGGCGCUUGAGAGAACUCGGGUGAAGGAACUAGGCAAAAUGGUGCCGUAACUUCGGGAGAAGGCACGCUGAUAUGUAGGUGAAGUCCCUCGCGGAUGGAGCUGAAAUCAGUCGAAGAUACCAGCUGGCUGCAACUGUUUAUUAAAAACACAGCACUGUGCAAACACGAAAGUGGACGUAUACGGUGUGACGCCUGCCCGGUGCCGGAAGGUUAAUUGAUGGGGUCAGCGCAAGCGAAGCUCUUGAUCGAAGCCCCGGUAAACGGCGGCCGUAACUAUAACGGUCCUAAGGUAGCGAAAUUCCUUGUCGGGUAAGUUCCGACCUGCACGAAUGGCGUAAUGAUGGCCAGGCUGUCUCCACCCGAGACUCAGUGAAAUUGAACUCGCUGUGAAGAUGCAGUGUACCCGCGGCAAGACGGAAAGACCCCGUGAACCUUUACUAUAGCUUGACACUGAACAUUGAGCCUUGAUGUGUAGGAUAGGUGGGAGGCUUUGAAGUGUGGACGCCAGUCUGCAUGGAGCCGGCCUUGAAAUACCACCCUUUAAUGUUUGAUGUUCUAACGUUGACCCGU